CGGCGGACGGGUGAGUAAUGCCUAGGAAUCUGCCUGGUAGUGGGGGACGAACGUUUCGAAGGAACGCUAAUACCGCCAUACGUCCUACGUGAGAAAGCAGGGACCUUCGGGCCUUGCGCUAUCAGAUGAGCCUAGGUCGGAUUAGCUAGUUGGUGAGGUAAUGGCUCACCAAGGCGACGAUCCGUAACUGGUCUGAGAGGAUGAUCAGUCACACUGGAACUGAGACACGGUCCAGACUCCUACGGGAGGCAGCAGUA
rnacentral:rRNA from 1 species